GUCUAUGGCCAUGCUACCCUGAACAUGCCUGAUCUUGUCUGAUCUCAGAAGCUAAGCAGGGUCGGGUCUGGGAGACCAUCUUGGAAUACCAGGUGCUACAGGCA
rnacentral:rRNA from 1 species